UACGGAGGGUGCAAGCGUUAUCCGGAUUUACUGGGUUUAAAGGGUGCGUAGGUGGAUUUGUAAGUCAGUGGUGAAAUCUCCGAGCUUAACUCGGAAACUGCCAUUGAUACUGCUAGUCUAGAGUAUAGAUGACGUUGGCGGAAUAUGACAUGUAGUGGUGAAAUACUUAGAUAUGUCAUAGAACACCGAUUGCGAAGGCAGCUAACGAAACUAUAACUGACGCUGAGGCACGAAAGUGCGGGGAUCAAACAGG
rnacentral:rRNA from 1 species